UAGGGAAUCUUCGGCAAUGGACGGAAGUCUGACCGAGCAACGCUGCGUGAGUGAAGAAGGUUUUCGGAUCGUAAAGCUCUGUUGUAAGAGAAGAACGAGUGUGAGAGUGGAAAGUUCACACUGUGACGGUAUCUUACCAGAAAGGGACGGCUAACUACGUGCCGGCAGCCGCGGUAAUACGUAGGUCCCGAGCGUUGUCCGGAUUUAUUGGGCGUAAAGCGAGCGCAGGCGGUUAGAUAAGUCUGAAGUUAAAGGCUGUGGCUUAACCAUAGUACGCUUUGGAAACUGUUUAACUUGAGUGCAAGAGGGGAGAGUGGAAUUCCAUGUGUAGCGGUGAAAUGCGUAGAUAUAUGGAGGAACACCGGUGGCGAAAGCGGCUCUCUGGCUUGUAACUGACGCUGAGGCUCGAAAGCGUGGGGAGCAAACAGGAUUAGAUACCCUGGUAGUCCACGCCGUAAACGAUGAGUGCUAGGUGUUAGACCCUUUCCGGGGUUUAGUGCCGUAGCUAACGCAUUAAGCACUCCGCCUGGGGAGUACGACCGCAAGGUUG
rnacentral:rRNA from 1 species